rnacentral:rRNA from 1 species
GAUGAACGCUGGCGGCGUGCCUAAUACAUGCAAGUCGAACGGACAGACGCGGAGCUUGCUCCUCUCACGUUAGGCGAGGAGGUGUGUAAAACACGUGGAUACCCUACCUAUAAGUCUGAUAACACUUCGGGAAAGCGGAUCAUAUACCGUAUAAUAUAUUGAUCCGCAUGGUUGAAUAGUGAAAUACGGCUUUGCUGGAAGUUAUAGAUGGAUAUGAGCCGGAUUAGCUAGUUGUUAAGUUCACGGCUUAUCAAGGCAACUAUGCGUAGGCGAGCUGAGAGGGUGAUCGGCCACACUGGAACUGAGACAGGCUCCAGACUCCUACGGGAGGCAGCAGUAUGGAAUCUUCCGCAGUGGGCGAAAGCCUGACGGAGCAACGCCGCGUGAGUUAUGAAGGUCUUCGGAUCGUAAAACUCUGUUAUGAGGGAAGAACAAAUUUGUAAGUAACUAUGCACGUCUUGACGGUACCUAAUCAGAAAGCCACGGCUAACUACGUG